rnacentral:tRNA from 46 species
GCGCCCGUAGCUCAAUUGGAUAGAGCGUCUGACUACGGAUCAGAAGGUUAGGGGUUCGACUCCUCUCGGGCGCGCCA